rnacentral:tRNA from 1 species
AUUACAUAUAAGAUAAGAUAAUCUAAAGGUUUGUGGUACCUUAAAUACUUUAUGGUUUGUGAUC